GUCAGGGAACUACGAGCAAAGCUUAAAACCCAAAGGACUUGACGGUACCCCACAUCCCCCUAGAGGAGCCUGUCCCAUGAUCGAUAACCCCCGUUUAACCUCACCACACCUAGCCCAUCAGCCUGUAUACUUCCGUCGUCAGCCUACCGCAUGAGCGAAGCUUAGUUAGCCAAACGUCCUACACCCCACGCUCAAUCCGUCAACACGUCAGGUCAAAGUGCAGCAAAUGAUGUGGGAGGAGAUUGGCUACACUUUUUAUCAUAAAAGAAACGAAAGACAAAAUGAAACUUUGUCAGAAGGCGGAUUUAGUAGUAAAAAGAAAACAUUAAGUUCUUUUUAACUCUGGCACUGGGGCGUGU
rnacentral:rRNA from 1 species